AUGCGGGGCCCACAGUCCAGGACGCCGUCCCCUUGUGUGGGUCCCCGCCGUGCCCCGGAAGGGGCGACCUGCACAAACCUUCAUCAAACCUGCGUGCCCCGGUCAGUCUCAUCAGCAUUUGUGGCACAAAGACCGUGGCGAGGGAGUCGGAGGCGCGGGCGCUGCAGGACGAGGGCGUGCCUGCCCAAAGCCGGGCCUUGCGGUCACUCGGCACCUGCCGCGUGGGCGGCUGCCACGCUCCUCGCCCCACAGGCCUGGGUGCCUGGAAUCGGGGCUGCCACGCCUCUGUGCUGUCUGCUCCCAAGUCCUCCUUCCACGUGGACCCUGAGCGGUCCGGCCACCCAGAAGCACUUGCUUGCCGGAAAGUGCUGGCCGAGAGGAGGCUCGGGGAAGGCUGCUCUGGGGGACGUCUGUGCUCGGGUCCACGGAGCUGGAAUGUCAGGUGAUCAGUCCGGGACAGAGUGGGGGCCACGCCUCGCGUCCCACUGCUGCCCCCAGGUCUGGGCUACGAGGGCCUCAGAGCUUCUUUGGAGAGCCGAUCAUGACCUUGGACACAAAGUUGACAAUGGCGCUGGCUGGCUGCUCGGGGUCGUGCUCUGCGAACAGGUGGCACACGUUGUCCGUGGCGCUGCCCUGCUUCCGGGCCACGAAUCCAAAGACUCUGCAAAAAAGAGGCUCCAGGUCAGGGCGUCCGCCGUGCACGGGGCCCCAGGCGUCCCCCGCGCACAGGCCCCAGGUGUCCACCGUGCACAGGGUCCCAGGUGUCCACCGUGCACAGGCCCCAGGCGUCCACCGCGCACAGGCCCCAGGCGUCCCCCGCGCACAGGCCCCAGGCGUCCACCAUGCACAGGCCCCAGGCGUCCACAGCGCACAGGCCCCAGGCGUCCACCGCGCACAGGCCCCAGGCUUCUGCUUCCUGCGACCACAGGCAGCACCACGGGAAGAAUGGCACGUCUACGCCUGCCAAGCACCGGGCGGCUACGUGUGCAGGUUCCGGACCUGCGGCUAAGCCUCAGAGCUGCCCUGCAGGUGAGGGCGUGGGAUGCUGAUGGAUGUGGCUGCCCCAGUCACACGCCAGCAGGGCCAGGAUCCUCAGAUCCCGAGGAGUGGGUGAAGCCCUGGGGAGGGGUCCGGGGCCUCUGGGAGAUGCUGACUCCACACGCACACCCCCCAGAGGGAAACACACAGGGUGUGUGUGGGUAUGCACGGGGUGCGUGUGUGGCUACACAUGGGGUGCGUGUGUGGCUACGCACGGGCACGGCUCGGGACCCUGCUGAAAGCACUGAGCCGCCACCACUGCAGGCUGUCCAAGCCCUCCACUGCACACAGCCACGCCCGCAGCCCAGGCCAGCCUUGUCCAUCUUCCUGGGAAACACGACAGGCGUGUUCCCUCCGCUCAGCGGCCCUGCAGGGACGGGGCCCAUGGCAUGCAGAAGCCCAAGCCCCUGCCGGGCAGAGGGGGCCGUGUCCGGGCUGGGGAGGCCCGGCACCGAGCAGAAACCCCAGCUAGGGACGCCCUGGAGUGGAAGGCGAGGGCGGCGUCCCCUCCUCCUGCCACGGGGCCUGGCGCACGCAGCGGAGUGGAGCAGCUUCCUCCGGAGAGGCCUCUCGGGCAGGCCAGGCACUCACUUGGAGGAGGUGGGGCUGUCCUUGAUCCACCUGGCAAGUUAA
ensembl:lncRNA